rnacentral:rRNA from 1 species
UAGGGAAUCUUCCACAAUAGGGCGAAAGCCUGAUGGAGCAACGCCGCGUGUGUGAUGAAGGCUUUCGGGUCGUAAAGCACUGUUGUAUGGGAAGAACAGCUAGAAUAGGAAAUGAUUUUAGUUUGACGGUACCAUACCAGAAAGGGACGGCUAAAUACGUGCAAG